rnacentral:rRNA from 1 species
UGGGGGAUAUUGCACAAUGGGCGAAAGCCUGAUGCAGCGACGCCGCGUGGGGGAUGAAGGCCUUCGGGUUGUAAACUUCUUUUGCUCUGAACAAGGCGCACCAUGGGGUGUGUUGAGUGUAGGGGUUGAUUAGCGCCGGCUAACUACGUGCCAGCAGCCGCGGUAAUACGUAGGGCGCGAGCGUUGUCCGGAAUUAUUGGGCGUAAAGGGCUUGUAGGUGGCUGGUUGCGUCUGUCGUGAAAGCUCAUGGCUUAACUGUGGGGUUGCGGUGGGUACGGGCAGGCUUGAGUGCAGUAGGGGAGGCUGGAAUUCCUGGUGUAGCGGUGGAAUGCGCAGAUAUCAGGAGGAAUACCGGUGGCGAAGGCGGGUCUCUGGGCUGUUACUGACACUGAGGAGCGAAAGCAUGGGGAGCGAACAGG